CCUCAGGGGCCGAGGAACUGGGGCUGGCAGCCAGCAGGGUCCCAUCAUGGUUCCAGCGACAGGCAACAGCCUCCUCAUGGAGUCCCCUGCAAGAAAAGUAUGGUGAUCAAGAAGAAUUCCAUGCAUUGCAUUUCAAUUUUAGAGUCUUUUUUUCCAAAAUUAAAAAGGAGAUACUGAACUCCUCAGAAGGGCAGGUGAUGUUUACAGUACCACCAUCACCACUGUGGGAAGUCUAUCAACUUGAGUGAAAUUGCUUCAGAGACCCACCAAAACUUCUAAAGCUAGUUGUCCAUCUGAGGCAGCACUGUGCU